UUCCAGGGAUGGGAAGCGAACCCACAAUGUUCCGCUUACCGGGCAGAUGCCAUGUCCACUAGGCUACCCUGGA
rnacentral:tRNA from 1 species